UUAACACAUGCAAGUCGAGGGGCAGCAUGGUCUUUUCUUGCUAAGGCCGAUGGCGACCGGCGCACGGGUGAGUAACACGUAUCCAACCUGCCGUCUACUCUUGGACAGCCUUCUGAAAGGAAGAUUAAUACAAGAUGGCAUCAUGAGUCCGCAUGUUCACAUGAUUAAAGGUAUUCCGGUAGACGAUGGGGAUGCGUUCCAUUAGAUAGUAGGCGGGGUAACGGCCCACCUAGUCUUCGAUGGAUAGGGGUUCUGAGAGGAAGGUCCCCCACAUUGGAACUGAGACACGGUCCAAACUCCUACGGGAGGCAGCAGUGAGGAAUAUUGGUCAAUGGGCGAGAGCCUGAACCAGCCAAGUAGCGUGAAGGAUGACUGCCCUAUGGGUUGUAAACUUCUUUUAUAAAGGAAUAAAGUCGGGUAUGGAUACCCGUUUGCAUGUACUUUAUGAAUAAGGAUCGGCUAACUCCGUGCCAGCAGCCGCGGUAAUACGGAGGAUCCGAGCGUUAUCCGGAUUUAUUGGGUUUAAAGGGAGCGUAGAUGGAUGUUUAAGUCAGUUGUGAAAGUUUGCGGCUCAACCGUAAAAUUGCAGUUGAUACUGGAUAUCUUGAGUGCAGUUGAGGCAGGCGGAAUUCGUGGUGUAGCGGUGAAAUGCUUAGAUAUCACGAAGAACUCCGAUUGCGAUGGCAGCCUGCUAAGCUGCAACUGACAUUGAGGCUCGAAAGUGUGGGUAUCAAACAGGAUUAGAUACCCUGGUAGUCCACACGGUAAACGAUGAAUACUCGCUGUUUGCGAUAUACAGCAAGCGGCCAAGCGAAAGCGUUAAGUAUUCCACCUGGGGAGUACGCCGGCAACGGUGAAACUCAAAGGAAUUGACGGGGGCCCGCACAAGCGGAGGAACAUGUGGUUUAAUUCGAUGAUACGCGAGGAACCUUACCCGGGCUUAAAUUGCAGAUGAAUUACGGUGAAAGCCGUAAGCCGCAAGGCAUCUGUGAAGGUGCUGCAUGGUUGUCGUCAGCUCGUGCCGUGAGGUGUCGGCUUAAGUGCCAUAACGAGCGCAACCCUUGUUGUCAGUUACUAACAGGUUCCGCUGAGGACUCUGACAAGACUGCCAUCGUAAGAUGUGAGGAAGGUGGGGAUGACGUCAAAUCAGCACGGCCCUUACGUCCGGGGCUACACACGUGUUACAAUGGGGGGUACAGAGGGCCGCUACCACGCGAGUGGAUGCCAAUCCCCAAAACCUCUCUCAGUUCGGACUGGAGUCUGCAACCCGACUCCACGAAGCUGGAUUCGCUAGUAAUCGCGCAUCAGCCACGGCGCGGUGAAUACGUUCCCGGGCCUUGUACACACCGCCCGUCAAGCCAUGGGAGCCGGGGGUACCUGAAGUGCGUAACCGCGAGGAGCGCCCUAGGGUAAAACUGGUGACUGGGGCUAAAA
rnacentral:rRNA from 1 species